rnacentral:rRNA from 1 species
AGAGUUUGAUCCUGGCUCAGGACGAACGCUGGCGGCGUGCCUAAUACAUGCAAGUCGUACGCUUCUUUUUCCACCGGAGCUUGCUCCACCGGAAAAAGAAGAGUGGCGAACGGGUGAGUAACACGUGGGUAACCUGCCCAUCAGAAGGGGAUAACACUUGGAAACAGGUGCUAAUACCGUAUAACAAUCGAAACCGCAUGGUUUUGAUUUGAAAGGCGCUUUCGGGUGUCGCUGAUGGAUGGACCCGCGGUGCAUUAGCUAGUUGGUGAGGUAACGGCUCACCAAGGCCACGAUGCAUAGCCGACCUGAGAGGGUGAUCGGCCACAUUGGGACUGAGACACGGCCCAAACUCCUACGGGAGGCAGCAGUAGGGAAUCUUCGGCAAUGGACGAAAGUCUGACCGAGCAACGCCGCGUGAGUGAAGAAGGUUUUCGGAUCGUAAAACUCUGUUGUUAGAGAAGAACAAGGAUGAGAGUAACUGUUCAUCCCUUGACGGUAUCUAACCAGAAAGCCACGGCUAACUACGUGCCAGCAGCCGCGGUAAUACGUAGGUGGCAAGCGUUGUCCGGAUUUAUUGGGCGUAAAGCGAGCGCAGGCGGUUUCUUAAGUCUGAUGUGAAAGCCCCCGGCUCAACCGGGGAGGGUCAUUGGAAACUGGGAGACUUGAGUGCAGAAGAGGAGAGUGGAAUUCCAUGUGUAGCGGUGAAAUGCGUAGAUAUAUGGAGGAACACCAGUGGCGAAGGCGGCUCUCUGGUCUGUAACUGACGCUGAGGCUCGAAAGCGUGGGGAGCAAACAGGAUUAGAUACCCUGGUAGUCCACGCCGUAAACGAUGAGUGCUAAGUGUUGGAGGGUUUCCGCCCUUCAGUGCUGCAGCUAACGCAUUAAGCACUCCGCCUGGGGAGUACGACCGCAAGGUUGAAACUCAAAGGAAUUGACGGGGGCCCGCACAAGCGGUGGAGCAUGUGGUUUAAUUCGAAGCAACGCGAAGAACCUUACCAGGUCUUGACAUCCUUUGACCACUCUAGAGA